UACGAAGGGUGCAAGCGUUACUCGGAAUUACUGGGCGUAAAGCGUGCGUAGGUGGUUCGUUAAGUCUGAUGUGAAAGCCCUGGGCUCAACCUGGGAAUGGCAUUGGAUACUGGCGACCUAGAGUGCGGUAGAGGGGUGUGGAAUUCCCGGUGUAGCAGUGAAAUGCGUAGAUAACGGGAGGAACAUCUGUGGCGAAGGCGACACCCUGGACCAGCACUGACGCUCAUGCACGAAAGCGUGGGGAGCAAACAGG
rnacentral:rRNA from 1 species